UGGGGAAUUUUGGACAAUGGGGGCAACCCUGAUCCAGCCAUGCCGCGUGCGGGAAGAAGGCCUUCGGGUUGUAAACCGCUUUUGGUCGGGAAGAAAGGGCAUUUCCUAAUAGGGGGUGCUGUUGACGGUACCGGCAGAAUAAGCACCGGCUAACUACGUGCCAGCAGCCGCGGUAAUACGUAGGGUGCGAGCGUUAAUCGGAAUUACUGGGCGUAAAGCGUGCGCAGGCGGUUCGUUGUGUCUGAUGUGAAAGCCCCGGGCUCAACUUGGGAAUGGCAUUGGAAACUGGCGAGCUAGAGUGUGGCAGAGGGGGGUGGAAUUCCGCGUGUAGCAGUGAAAUGCGUAGAGAUGCGGAGGAACACCGAUGGCGAAGGCAGCCCCCUGGGCUAGCACUGACGCUCAGGCACGAAAGCGUGGGGAGCAAACAGGAUUAGAUACCCGGGUAGUCC
rnacentral:rRNA from 1 species